GGAGGUGGUAGCUCAGUGGUAGAGUGUAUCUGUAUGUAUGAUGUCCUGGGUUCAAUCCCCAGCUUCUCUCCA